GGAGCGUGGAUAUAUUGAAUAGUUAUAAUAUUGUCGCAGAGAUAAAUAAAGCAAGGGCAAAUUUGGGAAUAAUUAAUUUAUUAUAGAUGGGUAUUUACCUUUUAGUUCUCCAAUAAAAUUAUAUAAAAGAUGUAUUUAUAGGGAGAGAGAGUCAGAUAAUAUAACAACUUUUCCCAAGGUGAAGAUAAUAAUAAUGAGAGUGGUUAGCCACCGAGGCGCCUCCCGUUUUCCUUAUUUGCCGAUAAGAUUCCGAGAACCCCUCACACCUGUGGUCUCCCCCUCCCACCCCGGAGUCCAGGGAUGAUUGACAAGUGUCCCAUGGAGCUUCUUGUGACCGGAGUUGCAGAGCUACUUGACAAUAUAUAGAGGACUGCUAGGAGUUCCUAUAUUCGUAUUUUUAGAUUUCUAAUUUGUCUAUAAAAAGCUUAUAACUGAUUGUGGGUCAUUUAUAGACAGAACCUAGUAAUAUUAAUAUUUAUAUAUAUAUUUUAUUUCGAAGUUGACGUAUAAUUAACAUGCAAAAAGCUUUAUUUUAAUUGAAAUAUAAAUUGUGGUUAAAAUAUAAAUAUAACGCUCUCUCGAUAUAGUUUAAAGUUCAUAUAAAUUAAAUUGUAUUCAUUCAAAAGAGUACAUUGAUCAUAAAAAUAUAUAUUUUGUUUCAUAUAUAAAUUUUUGAAAUAUUUUUUAUUAUUUUUACUUUAUAGCUUACAUUUGAUCUUUAGAAAAUUGAACCGAUAAAUAUAAUUAUUUAAUUACGAUAUGAAAGGUUUUAGCAAAAUAUAUCCAUGAACAAAACUAAAGUAAGUUAUACAUUUUAACGUGUAUAUCGGGAUUUAGAAAAUUACUCUGAAAGAUAUUUGAUACGCAGUGACCCUUAUUGCAAAAAAAAAAAGAAAGAAAAACAUGAGAUAACAAAGUAUAAAUAAAACUCCUCUGUUUCCUUUAAAAAAACAGUCAACAAUUAACACAAACUUGAGUUUUUCUUUGGUCAUGGAUUCUCUCUCUCUCUCAAUACAUGUUAUCGAAAAACAAUCAGCUUCUAAAGUUCAUAGAAAAUAGAUGAAAUGAUAUAUUUUCUGUAAAGCAUUCUAUGUAUAUAAUGCGUACACAUAUGUAUAAACAUUGUAUUCAAUUUGUAAAGAGAACUAUCAUCCAAGGAAGGCAGCAGGCGCGCAAAUUACCCACUCCCGGCACGGGGAGGUAGUGACGAAAAAUAACAAUACGGGACUCUAACGAGGCUCCGUAAUUGGAAUGAGUACACUCUAAACCUUUUAACGAGGAUCUAUUGGAGGGCAAGUCUAGUGCCAGCAGCCGCGGUAACUCUAGCUCCAAUAGCGUAUAUUAAAGUUGUUGCGGUUAAAAAGCUCGUAGUUGGAUCUCAGUCGCGCUCCCUUCGAUGCGUUGCAAAGCGUCUAUCGUUGGGGCCGACAGCACGUUGGUGGGCCCGGUUGGAUUUUACCGGUUGAUCGGGUUCUCCGGCAAUUUUACUUUGAAAAAAUUAGGGUGCUCAAAGCAGGCUGGUGCCUGGAUAUUGGUGCAUGGAAUAAUGGAAUAGGACCUCGGUUCUAUUUUGUUGGUUUUCGGAUACCGAGGUAAUGAUUGAGAGGGACAGACGGGGGCAUUCGUAUUGCGGCGCUAGAGGUGAAAUUCUUGGACCGCUGCAAGACGAACUACUGCGAAAGCAUUUGCCAAGAAUGUUUUCAUUAAUCAAGAACGAAAGUUAGAGGUUCGAAGGCGAUCAGAUACCGCCCUAGUUCUAACCAUAAACGAUGCAAACCAGCGAUCCGCCUGAGUUCCUUAAACGACUCGGCGGGCAGCUUCCGGGAAACCAAAGUUUUUGGGUUCCGGGGGAAGUAUGGUUGCAAAGCUGAAACUUAAAGGAAUUGACGGAAGGGCACCACCAGGAGUGGAGCCUGCGGCUUAAUUUGACUCAACACGGGAAAACUCACCCGGCCCGGACACCGGAAGGAUUGACAGAUUGAUAGCUCUUUCUUGAUUCGGUGGGUGGUGGUGCAUGGCCGUUCUUAGUUGGUGGAGCGAUUUGUCUGGUUAAUUCCGAUAACGAACGAGACUCUAGCCUACUAAAUAGACCCACGGUCCUUUGUACCGUGAGCGGGUCUUCUUAGAGGGACAGGCGGCUUUUAGCCGCACGAAACAGAGCAAUAACAGGUCUGUGAUGCCCUUAGAUGUCCGGGGCCGCACGCGCGCUACACUGAAGGAAUCAGCAUGUGUCUACCCUUGUCCGAAAGGACCGGGUAACCCUCUGAACCUCCUUCGUGAUGGGGAUAGGGGAUUGUAAUUAUUCCCCUCGAACGAGGAAUUCCCAGUAAGCGCGAGUCUAACUAUCUGGAAUAUAUAAAUUUAUUCACUUUUUUCUAUCUAACUUUAAUGCUCGACAACCUUUAUAUACCUUGUAAAUAUGUAGUGUAAUUAGAACGCGCUGAAGGAGCUAUUUAAAUAAAUAUAGUAGGAUAAAUAUAUAUUGGAAAUAGAACGGUAAAACAUAUUUCCAUAUAUAAACAUCAGAUUUCUAUAUA
rnacentral:rRNA from 1 species